rnacentral:rRNA from 1 species
CAAUAGCGUAUAUUAAAGUUGUUGCAGUUAAAAAGCUCGUAGUUGGAUUUCGGGGCAGCCUGGCUGGUCCGCCGCAAGGCGAGUACUGGUCAGCCGCCCUUCCUCUCGAAAGCCCCGACUGCUCUUCGUUGCAGUGGUCGGGUAGUUCGGGACGUUUACUUUGGAAAAAUUAGAGUGUUCAAGGCAGGCCUACGCCUGAAUACAUUAGCAUGGAAUAAUGGAAGAGGACCUCGGUCCUAUUUUGUUGGUUUCCAGGGCCGAAGUAAUGAUUAAGAGGGACAGUUGGGGGCAUUCGUAUUUAAUUGUCAGAGGUGAGAUUCUCGGAUUUAUGAAAGACGAACAACUGCGAAAGCAUUUGCCAAGGAUGUUUUCAUUAA